GACGGGGGAUGCAAGUGUUAUCCGGAAUCACUGGGCGUAAAGCGUCUGCAGGUGGUUUCCUAAGUCCACUGUUAAACCUUGAGGCUCAACCUCAAAUCUGCAUUGGAAACUAGGAGACUUGAGUAUAGUAGGGGUAGAGGGAAUUUCCAGUGGAGCGGUGAAAUGCGUAGAUAUCAGGAGGAUCACCGGUGGCGAGGGCGGGUCUCUGGGCCGAUACUGACGCUGAGGAGCGAAAGCGUGGGGAGCGAACAGG
rnacentral:rRNA from 1 species